AUACGGGGGGUGCAAGCGUUAAUCGGAAUUACUGGGCGUAAAGCGCGCGUAGGCGGUUUGCUCAGUCGGAUGUGAAAGCCCAGUGCUCAACCUUGGAACUGCAUACGAUACUGGCAAACUAGAGUGUGAGAGAGGAUAGUGGAAUUUCCGGUGUAGCGGUGAAAUGCGUAGAUAUCGGAAGGAACAUCAGUGGCGAAGGCGACUGUCUGGCUCAACACUGACGCUGAGGUGCGAAAGCGUGGGUAGCAAACAGGAUUAGAUACCCGAGUAGUCC
rnacentral:rRNA from 1 species